GCAUGAGGCAAGCCAAUUAUGCCCAGCACUCAUAAACAAGUCGGGGGAUGGAAAUCGUGUUUGCACACAGGCCUGAAGGCAGACACAAUACGUGUGUCUGUGUGUGUGUGUGUGUGUGUGUGUGGGGCCAGCGUAUGGGUGGGUGGGGAUUUCCUCUCUCCGUGCAAAUUGCGUGCCCCCUGACUGGUCUUGCCCCAGCCCUGGCCAGCAGCUGCUACCGAAAAGGGAUGAAUCAUCUUGGGUCUCUCUCUCCCUCCCUGACUGAAGCGACAGGCUCAGGGGGAAAGAAGUGAGAGGAAGGCUGGAGCAGAGGAAGCGAGAACCCUCCAGAGAUGCGGAGCUGGACAGUUUUGCAGCUGUGCUGGUACCUGGAGCCUGGGCAGGCUGGGAGUCCUGCUUAACCCCACAGCCUGCAUGCUGGCACCAAGUGGGGGUCAAACCUAGGGCCUUCUGCUCCCAGGACAUAAGUCCCCCUCACUAUUCGGAUCUGCUGGAAGAACCAGAAUCCCAGCAGAAGUGCUGAGUCAUGUGGGGGAGUUUGCUGGCAUAACUUCUCCCCACCUGCACCCAAGGCAUUGUUGAGAAAAGAAAGUCUGCUGCCACCUAAGAGACCCAGAAUCAGAACAACGGUGUGAUCUGAACAAGAUGAAGGGGUGGUUUCAUGAUAAGAAUAAACUACAAGCUUCUUCUGCUCCUUCUAGAGAUGCUCAAGAAGACUAUGGGAUAAAGCCACUUAUCUCAACUGAUAAAGGUAUAGAGCUGAGGAUGCCUGAUCUUUGCUUACUGCUCCCCUGGCCCCAUCCUAAAGAAGGGCCCCACCAGUGAACUUAUGGACCCAUGGAACCAUUCCCACUGAGCAAGAAAUAUGGCAAUGAAUCAUCACAGCAAGAAAAAAAAAAAGGGGGCAGGGGGGCCAGCUAGAUCAUUUACCAAGGGAAUACUGUCUGGAUAAUGAUGUUCAAAUCAUGUGCUGCUUGGUGGGAACGAGAAGACACUGGCUCCUUCACAGGCAACCCUGGCCAAGAUGCAGACACAAAUAAGGAGUUUCAGCAUGGUUUGCCCUGCACUGAGAUGUUUUCUCUCCCGCAGAAGGUUAUGUUGAUGAGUGUGUACAAAGUGCAGGGUCAAGCCUGCUCUGACAAGAGGCAAUGGCUUUGGAAGCCAUUUAAUGGAGGCAUAUUUAGGAGUGGAGUUUCUUCCUCUUCUGUUCUUGCUCUCCCUUCUUAGAGUGCCUUUUAGACUGAACUUCUCCAGCUACUGCUCAUCAUGGUGAGAGCCAGGUGUAGAAAGGUUACCUUAUCACCAUCAACGCAAUAUUCCCUUUCAUUUUUGCCUCCUGGAGGCUGAAAAAUGGCCUAGAUUCCAAGAAAGUGAAAAAAAGAGGUGUGGAGGAGGGCCUUUAGCUUUUCUCAAUAGCGUUUCCUUGGGGUCCUUUCCAGGCAAGCAUGACCCUCUCUCAUUUUCUAGAUGAGAAAUCCCAGGGAUGAGCACUUAAAUGGUAUUUCUAAAUCAGAGUCAGGGCCUGCGUUUCAGAUGGAACCCACAGACUCUCCUGAGAGGCUCUGGAUGGGGCGGAUUUGGCAUGCAAAAAGUAGGCUCCUGGCCUGGCUCUGCCCUCACCAACUGGGUGAACCUGGGCAAAUCAUUUCCAGCCUGGACUGAUACCUGGACUGGUAGCAUCAGCAUCACCAGGGAGCUUGUCAAAAAUGCAAUGUUCUGCCCUCCUCUUGUCUUUCUGGAUCAGCUCAGGGGCUGCACCAAGCCCUCUAGGUGAGUGUGGGCCUGCUCAGGGUUGAGGUCCACUGCCCCACUGGAAGGGACAGGGGCCACUCAGCCCCAAGCUAGAUAGCCAGGUGGACAUCUGGGCCCAGGACUAGCAGAUCUUCCCCUUCUUCCAAAGAAGCUAGUGGUCCAGAUUAUUUUAAGAAAUGAGAUUUUAAAAUAUUGGUAACAAAGUCAAGACACCGUGUUGCCAAAAACAACAGAAGGAGUCUGUGGGCUGCCUUGGGUACCACGUCCUACAUUUGGGCUCCAUUCUGAUUUUGGUUUCAAGAGAUCAUAAGAGCUGGUCUAUAUCCCUAAAUAAGGAAUCCUCUUACCUCCUUAUGACCUGGGGUUAGGUCUUGGGACAAGCAACAGGGUCUUUCUGACCUCUCCUUUGGCCCCUGCAGCCUACCAGCCCUCUCAGUUGUGUUCACAUCAUGUAGCCUCUGCAGGAUUCUAAGCUCCUUGGGGACAGAGAGGGUCUUGCCAUGGCAAUUUGCUGCACAGCAUCUACCUCAGAUGUGAACACAUUUGUGGCUACACUUAAUGAAUGAAUUGAAUCAUCCCUCGCCAAUCUCCAGCACCGAAAUCACAAUUUGAAGCUUGGUAGGAAUUUUCAUGGGACUCAUCAUUCAGAUACUAUGGAUCCUGCAAUCAUCACCAGGCAAAUAUUUCCCAAGCAUAUCCUCUGUGCAGGCACCAAGCUCUGGGCUGGGAAAGAAAUGUGGACCUGAUGUGCUCCGGCCUCCAGGGGGCGUGGAUUUUAAGCCGGUGGUUUUCAAUCCCCUCCAACCCAGGGUUGGUGCACACUCUCAGCAAAAUAGUUUUCAGCAUGCAUCUCCAAUAUAUGUACAGUUUAAAACUGAUAAAUAAUAUGCAUAUGUACUGCUAUUUCAUUCUCUUUGUAAAUCUUUAAAUAAAAAUUAGGAAAUUUAAGGCCAGCUACGGUGGCUCACACCUGUAAUCCUAGCACUCUGGGAGCCCAAGGUGGGUGAAUAACUUGGGGUUAGGAGUACUAGACUGCCCUGGCCAACAUGGUGAAGCCCCAUUUCUACUAAAAACACAAAACAAAAAUUAGCCAGGCAUGGUGGCGUACACCUGUAAACAGCCCAGCUAGUGGGGAGGCUGAGGCAGGAGAACUGCUUGAACCCGGAAGGUGGAGAUUACAGAGAGCCGAGAUUGCAC
rnacentral:lncRNA from 10 species